CUGUGUCUACGACUGUGCAAGUAUAGUGUCACACAUUGAGACACACUGAGAGAGAGAGAUGGUGUGCCUAUGCACGUAUAGUGUCUUACUAGUAGGCUCUAUAUAUGCGUGGUGUGGGCUGCCGUGCCGUACCAUCACUGCUCUCCUGCCCUCCUCUUUAUAAACAGCGCGCAACGAGGGAGCCCCGGCACUUGCUUCAAUACUAGCUCGCUCACCACUCACCAGUCACCAGUCUAGCAAGCAACAACAAAGGCGUAGGAGGAAGCUUGUUUUGGACCGAGCAAGCGAGCCAGCCGAGCGUGGGAGAGAGAGAAAGAGGAAUUAAUUGAUGGGCGAGGAGGCCAGCUGCGACGCCGUCAGCCUGACGGAGGCCGGCACCAACGCCAAGCCGGUGGGCAAGGAGGUCGGCCGCGAGCCGGCUGCAGCCCCCGCCGCCGCGGCCGACCCCCGGCUGCAGGGCAUUUCCGACGCCAUCCGCGUCGUGCCGCACUUCCCCAAGCAAGGCAUCAUGUUCAACGACAUCACCACGCUGCUGCUGCGCCCCAGGGUGUUCAAGGACGCCGUCGACCUGUUCGUCGAGCGGUACCGCGGGAUGGGCAUCGACGCCGUCGCCGGCUUUUCCGCCUCGUCCGGUACGUGGCCCCCCUUGGGACCGCGUGAUCGGACGGUUGCGUGCGGCCGGCGCACGGGAUCGGGCGGUCCGGGGACGCCGGCGGUACACACCCGUCGUCGGUUUCCGCGGGUGGCGCGCCCUGAUGUCACGCGGCUCCGCUGUCGCUGUCGCUGUAACUGUUUCCGAGAUUUUGCUCUGCGGCUCGCUGGAUCCUCUGUCCGCUUCCGUUCCGCGGGCCGUGUUCCCGAAUUUCCAUUUUUUUUAUUUUUCUUUACAAGCGGGACGUACAAAUCGAGCGAUUUGCGCUGGCUCUGAUAAAUUGUUGGGUUCACUUGGACAUUCCUGUCCAGGGAUUGAGGCCAGGGGCUUCGUGUUCGGCCCGGCGAUCGCGCUGGCUAUUGGCGCUAAGUUCAUACCUCUGCGCAAGCCAAGGAAGCUCCCAGGUGAGGUGAUCUCCGAGAAGUACGUUCUCGAGUACGGGACUGAUUGCCUGGAGAUGCGUGUCGGGGCCAUCGAGCGAUCCGGCGAGCGGGUGCUGGUCAUCGACGACCUGGUUGCGACCGGAGGGACACUCUGUGCUGCGAUCAGGCUUCUAGAACGUGCUGGAGCCGAUGUGGUCGAGUGCGCGUGUGUCAUUGGGCUCCCGAAAUUCAAGGAUUUGUACAAGUUGAAUGGAAAACCUGUAUACGUGCUGGUUGAGUCUCGUGAAUAAUCGGAGAAAUGACAACUUAUUCUCAGGUGUCAGAGUGAUCAGGGAUAUUGGCUGUUUACUCCUUGCUACUGCGAUUGAACAGUGGAGGGACGACAUGGACAAGGACAAGUAUAUUCGGUGCAUCACUAAGUCUUGGUGAGGGGAGAGAUUGUAGUGUUUUAGGCUGAGUAGUGAAGAGCCUGUAGUUCUGCACGGAACAUGAUGGUUAUUAGUUGAUGCAACAGCGUUGCUGUUCUAUUAUUGUUUGUUGAA